GACGAACGCUGGCAGCAUGCUUAACACAUGCAAGUCAACUGUGGCGGACGGGUGAGUAACGCGUACAGAACUUGCCUCCCAGCUAGGGACAACAUUUGGCAACGAAUGCUAAUACCUGAUACUGUGAGAGAGCUUUGCGUCCCAUUAGCUAGUUGGAGAGGUAACGGCUCACCAAGGCGAUGAUGGGUAGCCGGCCUGAGAGGGUGAUCGGCCACAAGGGGACUGAGACACGGCCCUUAAUCCUACGGGAGGCAGCAGUGGGGAAUAAUGAAAAAUGGACCAAAGUCUGAUCCAGCAAUUCUGGGUGCACGAUGAAGUUUUCGGAAUGUAAAGUGCUUUCAGUUGGGAAGCGGUACCAACAGAAGAAGUGACGGCUAAAUACGUGCCAGCAGCCGCGGUAAUAC
rnacentral:rRNA from 1 species